UGGGGAAUAUUGGACAACGGGCGAAAGCCUGAUCCAGCCAUGCCGCGUGAGUGAUGAAGGCCCUAGGGUUGUAAAGCUCUUUUGUGCGGGAAGAUAAUGACGGUACCGCAAGAAUAAGCCCCGGCUAACUUCGUGCCAGCAGCCGCGGUAAUACGAAGGGGGCUAGCGUUGCUCGGAAUCACUGGGCGUAAAGGGUGCGUAGGCGGGUUUCUAAGUCAGAGGUGAAAGCCUGGAGCUCAACUCCAGAACUGCCUUUGAUACUGGAAGUCUUGAGUUCGGGAGAGGUGAGUGGAACUGCGAGUGUAGAGGUGAAAUUCGUAGAUAUUCGCAAGAACACCAGUGGCGAAGGCGGCUCACUGGCCCGAUACUGACGCUGAGGCACGAAAGCGUGGGGAGCAAACA
rnacentral:rRNA from 1 species